rnacentral:rRNA from 1 species
AGACCCGAAACCCGGUGAUCUAGCCAUGGGCAGGUUGAAGGUUGGGUAACACUAACUGGAGGACCGAACCGACUAAUGUUGAAAAAUUAGCGGAUGACCUGUGGCUGGGGGUGAAAGGCCAAUCAAACCGGGAGAUAGCUGGUUCUCCCCGAAAGCUAUUUAGGUAGCGCCUCGUGAAUUCAUCUCCGGGGGUAGAGCACUGUUUCGGCUAGGGGGCCAUCCCGGCUUACCAACCCGAUGCAAACUGCGAAUACCGGAGAAUGUUAUCACGGGAGACACACGGCGGGUGCUAACGUCCGUCGUGAAGAGGGAAACAACCCAGACCGCCAGCUAAGGUCCCAAAGUCAUGGUUAAGUGGGAAACGAUGUGGGAAGGCCCAGACAGCCAGGAUGUUGGCUUAGAAGCAGCCAUCAUUUAAAGAAAGCGUAAUAGCUCACUGGUCGAGUCGGCCUGCGCGGAAGAUGUAACGGGGCUAAACCAUGCACCGAAGCUGCGGCAGCGACACUGUGUGUUGUUGGGUAGGGGAGCGUUCUGUAAGCCUGCGAAGGUGGCCUGUGAGGGUUGCUGGAGGUAUCAGAAGUGCGAAUGCUGACAUAAGUAACGAUAAAGCGGGUGAAAAGCCCGCUCGCCGGAAGACCAAGGGUUCCUGUCCAACGUUAAUCGGGGCAGGGUGAGUCGACCCCUAAGGCGAGGCCGAAAGGCGUAGUCGAUGGGAAACGGGUUAAUAUUCCCGUACUUGGUGUUACUGCGAAGGGGGGACGGAGAAGGCUAUGUUGGCCGGGCGACGGUUGUCCCGGUUUAAGCGUGUAGGUGUGUGUUCCAGGUAAAUCCGGUUCACUUUAACACUGAGGCGUGACGACGAGGCACUACGGUGCUGAAGCAACAAAUGCCCUGCUUCCAGGAAAAGCCUCUAAGCAUCAGGUAACAUCAAAUCGUACCCCAAACCGACACAGGUGGUCAGGUAGAGAAUACCAAGGCGCUUGAGAGAACUCGGGUGAAGGAACUAGGCAAAAUGGUGCCGUAACUUCGGGAGAAGGCACGCUGACACGUAGGUGAAGUGAUUUACUCAUGGAGCUGAAGUCAGUCGAAGAUACCAGCUGGCUGCAACUGUUUAUUAAAAACACAGCACUGUGCAAACACGAAAGUGGACGUAUACGGUGUGACGCCUGCCCGGUGCCGGAAGGUUAAUUGAUGGGGUCAGCGCAAGCGAAGCUCCUGAUCGAAGCCCCGGUAAACGGCGGCCGUAACUAUAACGGUCCUAAGGUAGCGAAAUUCCUUGUCGGGUAAGUUCCGACCUGCACGAAUGGCGUAAUGAUGGCCAGGCUGUCUCCAC